UACGAGGGGGGCGAGCGUUGUUCGGAAUUAUUGGGCGUAAAGGGUGCGUAGGCGGUUUGGUAAGUCUUUUGUGAAAUCUCCGGGCUCAACUCGGAGUCUGCAAGAGAAACUGCCGUGCUGGAGUAUGGGAGAGGUGAGUGGAAUUCCGGGUGUAGCGGUGGAAUGCGUAGAGAUCCGGAAGAACACCGGUGGCGAAGGCGGCCUGCUGGGCUAUGGCUGACACUGAGGCGCGACAGCGUGGGGAGCAAACAGG
rnacentral:rRNA from 1 species